ACACGUAUGAAAGUCAAGCUGAAAGACUUUACUCAAUGAUGUAAGUGGUGGUGCAUGGCCGUUCGUGGUUCGUGGAUUGAUUCGUCUGGUUAAUUCCGUUAACGAGCGAGACCCUAACGUUCUAAAUAGGGGGUCACAGCCCACCCGGUCGAAAGGCCGGGUAGCCGUAGCCUAUAUAAACUUCUUAGACGUAUCAGGGCCGAUAAGGUCCUUGAAAUGGGUUAAUAACAGGUCAGUCAUGCCCUUAGAUGUUCUGGGCCGCACGCGCGUUACAAUGGCACGUAAAGCGAGUGCUCCUGGUUGAGUUGACCGUGGCCGAAAGGCUUCGGGAAUCCAUAAUCCCUGCCUUGUCUGGGAUAGACUCUUGAAAUUAUCGGUCUUGAACGAGGAAUUUUUAGUAAUAGCCAGGUCACUAGCCUGCGCUGA
rnacentral:rRNA from 1 species